ACAAAUCCAUACUUGUGGGAUGUUUACAUCCUGCAAAUAUUAAUCCGCUGGCCUCGCAAGGGGCUGGUUGAUAGAUAAUAACAUAAAUGUGUGUAGUGUUGACAGUGUGUGAUAUUUAAUAAUUAAUAUUGA
rnacentral:misc_RNA from 1 species